rnacentral:lncRNA from 1 species
CUCUAUGUUUUUGCUGGUGAUUGUAGCGGCCUAUCUGGAGGCCCUGGGAUCUGGGAGCCGUUCAAGAGACGCAUGUGUUUCGAAACAUCCAGCACCUCCAUGGAGACAGGGAGGCCCUUUGACCUCAGGGAAUUAGUACGACUUCAAAGCGAUGCACAUAUGAAUGGGUACGGUGGAGAAGCCAACCACAACUCCCUGCGAGGGAUGCCAGGCUCUGCCUCCAGGGCUGCUAGCAGGAACACCCAGAGGAGGCCACAACCGAGGCCCACACACCCCCGAUCCCUCCCUCCCAGCCAGGCUCCAAAGUCUCAGACAUACCCCUCCUCUGGCCACAGGCCAGCCGCAAGGCCCGGAGCCCCAAGCAGCCACAGCCAGCUCCAGAGAACCAGCAGCACCCUUCACAGACUGGUCCUUCAGCCCCAGGAAGAAAUCCCCUAGAUGGGCCACGCCGGCACAGCUCGGAGGACUCGGACUAUGUGAGCCUGGUGGAGACCAUGGAUAAAGACCUGGACAGACCAGAGUCUGCUGAGGAGGGGGGGAAUCAGGAUGCAUUUUAUGGCAAAGCCAGUGCAGCCAAAGGAAAGUGCAGCAGACCAAAGCCAAGGCCCCAAAGAAGAAGGAAGAGCGGGAGAAGAGGAACAAGGGAAGAGCUCAGGGAGGAGAGGAACUGAGGAGGACAACGAUGACAGCUCCUCCACCACCACAGAGAACUCCAACCCAGACAUAAUGGAGGACAACAAAGGGAAGAAGAAAUAUGAUACUCCUGAAGCUCACUCAAAGUCCAGAACAAGAAGCCAGCAGCCAUUACAAAGGAGAAGAGCCAAAUGGAUGCAAAGUCUAGCUCACUGGAGCUUCCAUACGUUACCCCACUGGAAAACAAGCGCAAGAGCUUCAAUUCCAGAAACUGGUGGUGGUGCAGCAGGCCCUGGCCAGCAGCUCAACAACACAACCAUAACAAGACCCAUACCUCCUAAACCAAGAGUGCCUCGUGUGAAGCUGGAAGACUUCCGCCCCUCUCUCCUGGCUAAGUUCCUGUUCAACGAACCGGUGGUGCAGGAGCUGGGGAACAGCAGCGGCUCAGAAGGGGAGAAGGACAUCUCUCCUCCCCGGAGUGGGACUGUGUUCCCUCCACAUAGCACACAAUGGUGAGUUAUGUAGUGCACUACCACAACCCCCUCAUACCUGCUCCAAACCCGUUUCCCCACCUCUUCUAGCAUAUGAACUCUUUUUAACUUCCUGAAUCAAGCAUGUAUCAAUCCAGUCUUUCAAAUAAAACAAACCAAUUGAGUAUUGUGAUAAAGGCAGCCAUAUGACAUGCAUCUCCCCGUUUCCUCUCAGCUGUGGACAGUCUCCAGCAGAUCUCCCUGCAGACCAUGAACGCUGAUCCUCCCUGAAGAGACCCAUCAGAACCCCUAGCUNNNNNNNNNNNNNNNNNNNNNNNNNCUCUCUGUC